rnacentral:rRNA from 1 species
UACGAGGGGGCGAGCGUUGUUCGGAAUUAUUGGGCGUAAAGGGUGCGUAGGCGGUUCUAUAAGACAGUUGUGAAAUCCCCGGGCUCAACCUGGGAACUGCAUCUGUGGCUGUAUAGCUAGAGUACGGUAGAGGGGGGGAUGGAAUUCUGCGUGUAGCAGUGAAUGCGUAGAUAUGCGGAGGAACACCGAUGGCGAAGGCAAUCCCUGGACCUGUACUGACGCUCAUGCACGAAAGGCGUGGG